rnacentral:rRNA from 1 species
GACGAACGCUGGCGGCGUGCUUAACACAUGCAAGUCGAACGAAGAGCGAUGGAAGCUUGCUUCUAUCAAUCUUAGUGGCGAACGGGUGAGUAACGCGUAAUCAACCUGCCCUUCAGAGGGGGACAACAGUUGGAAACGACUGCUAAUACCGCAUACGAUCUAAUCUCGGCAUCGAGGAUAGAUGAAAGGUGGCCUCUACAUGUAAGCUAUCGCUGAAGGAGGGGAUUGCGUCUGAUUAGCUAGUUGGAGGGGUAACGGCCCACCAAGGCGAUGAUCAGUAGCCGGUCUGAGAGGAUGAACGGCCACAUUGGGACUGAGACACGGCCCAGACUCCUACGGGAGGCAGCAGUGGGGAAUCUUCCGCAAUGGACGAAAGUCUGACGGAGCAACGCCGCGUGAGUGAUGACGGCCCUCGGGUUGUAAAGCUCUGUUAAUCGGGACGAAAGGCCUUCUUGCGAAUAGUGAGAAGGAUUGACGGUACCGGAAUAGAAAGCCACGGCUAACUACGUG